UACGAAGGGGGCUAGCGUUGCUCGGAAUCACUAGGGCGUAAAGCGCACGUAGGCGGCUUUUAAGUCAGGGGUGAAAUCCUGGAGCUCCAACUCCAGAACUGCCUUUGAUACUGACGACUGUAGUCGGGAGAGGUGAGUGGAACUGCGAGUGUAGAGGUGAAAUUCGUAGAUAUUCGCAAGAACACCAGUGGCGAAGGCGGCUCACUG
rnacentral:rRNA from 1 species